rnacentral:rRNA from 1 species
GUGCCAGCAGCCGCGGUAAUACGUAGGGUCCAAGCGUUAUCCGGAAUCACUGGGCGUAAAGCGUGCGUAGGCGGAUGUUUAAGUGAUAUGCGAAAUCUUGUGGCUCAACCAUAUAGACUGUAUAUCAUACUGGGCAUCUAGAGGAUGGCAGAGGCAAGUGGAAUUACUGGUGUAGCAGUGAAAUGCGUAGAGAUCAGUAGGAACACCAAUGGCGAAGGCAGCUUGCUGGGCCACACCUGACGCUGAGGUACGAAAGCGUGGGGAGCGAACAGGAUUAGAUACCCUGGUAGUCC